AGAGUGUGCUUCUGGCUCAGGAUGAACGCUGGCGGCGUGCUUAACACAUGCAAGUCGAACGGGAAUUACUUUAUUGAAACUUCGGUCGAUUUAAUUUAAUUCUAGUGGCGGACGGGUGAGUAACGCGUGGGUAACCUGCCUUAUACAGGGGGAUAACAGUCAGAAAUGGCUGCUAAUACCGCAUAAGCGCACAGAGCUGCAUGGCUCAGUGUGAAAAACUCCGGUGGUAUAAGAUGGACCCGCGUUGGAUUAGCUUGUUGGUGGGGUAACGGCCCACCAAGGCGACGAUCCAUAGCCGGCCUGAGAGGGUGAACGGCCACAUUGGGACUGAGACACGGCCCAGACUCCUACGGGAGGCAGCAGUGGGGAAUAUUGCACAAUGGGGGAAACCCUGAUGCAGCGACGCCGCGUGAAGGAAGAAGUAUUUCGGUAUGUAAACUUCUAUCAGCAGGGAAGAUAGUGACGGUACCUGACUAAGAAGCCCCGGCUAACUACGUGCCAGCAGCCGCGGUAAUACGUAGGGGGCAAGCGUUAUCCGGAUUUACUGGGUGUAAAGGGAGCGUAGACGGUGUGGCAAGUCUGAUGUGAAAGGCAUGGGCUCAACCUGUGGACUGCAUUGGAAACUGUCAUACUUGAGUGCCGGAGGGGUAAGCGGAAUUCCUAGUGUAGCGGUGAAAUGCGUAGAUAUUAGGAGGAACACCAGUGGCGAAGGCGGCUUACUGGACGGUAACUGACGUUGAGGCUCGAAAGCGUGGGGAGCAAACAAGAGUAGAUACCCUGGUAGUCCCC
rnacentral:rRNA from 1 species